CGUGAUCCUACUGUUACUGCAGGGGCCCUGCGGCAAGCCUCCAGAAACGGUUGAGACACCCAUGUCAAGGAGCUGCGUGAUGGGUCUCUGCACAGUCGGUUGCUUUGGGGUGUCUCAGUCAUUAUGACGCUCUGGGGUUAAGUGCUAGAGGACUCUGUCCGCAAUGUGUGUGGGUUUUUUUGAGUUGGAGAACAGCAGACGAGCGGAGCUUUGGUAGGCCACUCUCUCAUGGAUGAAGCAUGUAUUAAACAGCUUGGUGUGUUGUUCUUGUGGGUGACUGAGGGACAUGAGGUGAGUAAAGGAACCUUGCAUUUAGGUGAAGCGGCUGCUAUGGAGGAUGGCCGCUGAAGAUAUACGGUGACCCGCAGCACUGUGAAAGGGAAGCGACGGGGAGCGGGGACCUCGCAUCUCCAAACGGCAGGGCACCGUAGUCGAGGGCAUGUUGAGAGAAGCAGAACUUGCCGGCUUUUGGCUCAGGAACGCAAAUGGUGGAGACAACGUUGCUGUGAAGAGGAAAAUGUCUGGAUGUAAAGCAGUGGAUGUGACGGGAGGGAGGAAUGCGGAAGAGGGUCCUAGGCUGAGAAUCGCAGGAACUAAAGAAUUACCAUGCCUAUGAAGGUAGCAGUAAAGUUCUGGAGUGUAAAUGUAUUUAUAGGAGAAAUGACUAAGAACUGAACAAAAGGUAUAGUAGGGAUUACCUGAUAUACUAUGCACUGAGUAUUGGUAUAGUCAUAGUAAAAGAACAGCAUAGAGUUGAACCAUAGGUGUAGAUACUGGAACGCUGACUAGGAAUCAGAAAAGGACCAAUUUAAACACAAAAAAAGGUUUAAAAGGAGAAAAAAACCCCAGGUGGUAGUGCAUCCCCCUUCAAAGCACAGUAAUGACCAAAAUGGCAAAUGAAAGUACAAAGCGAGAUGUGUGCCUCGCAUGCCUGUAGGCGGCUGUAGCCAAGAAGGAAAAUAAUGGAAAACAGUUAUGGGACUAGAAAGUCCCUCUCGCUUGGGCCUGGUAGUGGCAAAUUUUGUAAAUGAUGAUAGUGUAAAGAUGAGAAUAGGCAUAUGAGGGAUGGUAGCUGACACAUAGAGGUAAAUGUAGCUGUGCACGGGUUCAAAGAAAGAAAGCAUGAAUCUUUUGGGCUGUAAGGUUGAUCUUGAGUAUUAGCAGUAGAGUAAAGGUUUUCACAAAGGAAAACCCUGAGGCAUUUUAAAGCAACAUAAACUAAACUUGGGCCCAAUAGCUGCCUAGGCCAAGCAGCCCACUCAAGAAGGUGAUGACGAUAAAAAACGGUGUGGAUUAAACCCGAGUAUGGGUAAUGGAAAGUAUCAAAUAGAACAGUACAGAUCAGAAGCUCCUAGGGAAGCUGUAGUUACCUUUGUUGCUUAGAGAGCUAAUAAUGGUAGUUGGAACCUUAAUAAGGCCUACUUUAUGGAGUAGCUUAAGGUAAACAAAGGAAAAUUUGAUACAAUGAAGUUGUAAUAAAGAUGCAUCUCCUC